rnacentral:rRNA from 1 species
AGCGAACGCUGGCGGCAGGCUUAACACAUGCAAGUCGAAGGGAGUGGCAGACGGGUUAGUAACACGUGGGAACGUACCUUUCGGUUCGGAAUAAUCCAGGGAAACUUGUAAUAAUACCGGAUACCGAUUGAUCGGCCCGAGUCGGAUUAGCUGGUUGGUGAGGUAAGGGCUCACCAAGGCGACGAUCAGUAGCUGGUCUGGGAGGAUGAUCAGCCACAUUGGGACUGAGACCCGGCCCAAACUCCUACGGGAGGCAGGAGUGGGGAAUAUUGGACAAUGGGCGCAAGCCGGAUCCAGCCAGGCCGCGUGAGUGAUGAAGGCCUUAGGGUUGUAAAGCUCUUUUGUCCGGGAAGCUGUACCGGAAGAAUAAGCCCCGGCUAACUUCGUGCCAGCAGCCGCGGUAAUAC